AGCAGCUAGUGUUUAGCAGCUAGCGUUAGCGACAUAGCUACCAUUUGAAGAUGUGUGUGUUUUUCUCUGUUAGCCGUGUGCUGUGUCUACUGGCGCUGACCAUGGCCAUCCUCUCCUCUACAUUGGAAGUGCGUUCCCAGGGAAUGAGGCCUCUAAAUUGCUGUUUGAAGACAUCCAAAAAACGUCCAGCAGAACCAAUCACACUGUGUCUUAUUCAGAUGCCUCGUGGGAAAUGUAACCUCAAAGCAUACAUUUUCGCCAGUGGGGAGCAGUGGAAGUGCAUCAACCCCAAAGCCAGAUGGCUCCCUGCUGAGCUAGCAUCACUGGAACAGAGAGGAAUACAGUGUGACCCACUGAUUAAAUAACCAUCAGACCAUGAUCCUAGAUCAUCAUCAUCGUCAGCAGCAGGUUCAGCAGCCUCUCUCAACCAGGAACUACAGAACUAACAUCUCUCUCAAGCAGGAACUACAGAACUAAGAUCUCUCUCAAGCAGGAACUACAGAACUAAGAUCUCUCUCAACCAGGAACUACAGAACUAAGAUCUCUCUCAACCAGGAACUACAGAAUUAAGAUAAUAAGAAGACAGUGAAAAUGAAGAUUAUGAUUUGUGUGAUUUAAGUAUUUCAAGCUCUCUUUAUCAGAUUAUUUAUGUAUUUAUUUAUUUAUUUCAACCUCAUCCCGGCAUUAAUUUAUUAUACUCAAUUCAUUAAGGUGUUUUAAAGGCAUUUGUAUUUAUUUAUUUCCUCUGUCCUUUUUUUAUGCUGUGAUAAUAACAUAACUUUGUUUGUAUAAAGUCUUUCAUUCUCAAAGUGCUUUACAGUGAUACAAAAUAAAGAACGGGAGACCUAUCUGAGUAUCUCCAUAGUAACUAGACCCUGUAAUGGCUGCAUAAAGGUUAAAGGUUGUGACACUCAAUCGUGUCACUGGGCUGUGGUCAUGGUAAUGACACUGCCCAUCCGUUCUACCAACAAAGCCCUUCCCUCAGUCCCUGACCAUAUCCUCUUCCACUAGUCGCUACUCCUUGUCCUUGUCCUUAACCCCUACUGCUAGCUACCCCUAAACUCACAGAUGCAGCUGUUUCAGUGAACCUGUAUUUAUUUGGACAACAGAUAAACAAAUAAAAUACUAUUGACUGAAAUGGUCAUGAUCAUAAUAGCAUAUUGUUCCCAUGUCAGUCAGUCAGUCACAUGACCCAGUCUUCCUCUGGCCCCUCUCCUCUUCUCUCAGUGUGACUGUGACAUGGCUAACAUGGAAGGUACUGGAAUGAGUAAUAAAAACAU